ACUUUAGAGUUUGAUCAUGGCUCAGAACGUACGCUGGCGGCACGCCUAACACAUGCAAGUCGAACGCAGUAACAAUACUGAGUGGCAGACGGGUGAGUAACAUGUGGGUAUCUGCCUUUUGGCUUGGAAUAACACGAGGAAACUUGUGCUAAUACCGGAUAACCCCUUACGGAGAAAGCUUUAUGCACCAUUGGAUGACCCCGCACUUGAUUAGCUAGUUGGUGAGGUAAUUGCUCACCAAGGCAACUAUCAAUAGCUGUCCUUAAAGGAAUACCAGCCACAUUGGGACUGGGCCCCGGCCCAAACUCUUAGGGGAGGCAGCAGGGGGGAAUCUUGCCCAAUGGAGGAAACUUUGAUGCAGCGAUGCCGCUUGAUUGAAGAAGGCCCUUGGGUUGUAAAGUUCUUUCGUCGGGGAAGAAAAUGACUGUACCCGAAUAAGAAGGUCCGGCUAACUUCGUGCCAGCAGCCGCGGUAAUACGAAGGGACCUAGCGGACUUCGGAAUUACUGGGCUUAAAGAGCUCGUAGGUGGUAGAAAUAGUUGAUGGUGAAAACCUAAGGCUCAACCUUGGAUCUGCCAUCAAAUCUUUUUAUCUAGAGUAUGAUAGAGGAUAGUGGAAUUUCUAGUGUAGAGGUGAGUUCAUACAUAUUAGAAAGAACACCAAAUGCGAAGGCAACUUUCUGGAUCAUUACUGACACUGAGGAGCGAAAGCAUGGGUAGCGAAGAGGAUUAGAUACCGUCGUAGUCCAUGCUGCAAACGAUGUGUGCUAGACGUUGGAAACAUAGUUUUCAGUGUCGCAGCGAAAGCUUAAGCACACCCCCUGGGGAGUACGACCGCAAGGUUCAAACUCAAAUGAAUUGACGGGGACCCGCACAAGCAGUGGAGCAUGUGGUUUAAUUCGAAGAUACGCGCAGAACCUUACCAACACUUGACAUGUUCGUCGCGAGCCUAAGAGAUUAGGCUUUUCAGUUUGGCUGGACGAAACACAGGUGGGCAUGGCUGUCGUCAGUUUGUUUCGUGAGAUGUUGGGUUAAGUCCCGCAACGAGCGCAACCCCUACCUUUAGUUGCCACCAUUUAGUUGGGCACUCUAGAGGGACUGCCAGUGAUAAGCUGGAGGAAGGGGGGGAUGGCGUCAAGUCCUCAUGGCCCUUACGUGUUGGGCUACACACGUGGUACAAUGGUACUUACAAUGGGAAGCAAAGAGGCGACUCCUAGCCAAUCCCAAAAACGUACCUCAGUUCGGAUUGUACUUUGUAACUCGAGUGCAUGAAGCUGGAAUUGCUAGUAAUCGCGGAUCAGCGCGCCGCGGUGAAUACGUUCCCGGGUCUUGUACACACCGCCCGUCACACCAUGGAAGUUGGUUACACCUUAAGGCAAAUCGUCAACCCUCGGGAGACAUUUGACUACGGUACGAUCAGCAACUGGGGGGAAGUCGUAACAAGGUAACC
rnacentral:rRNA from 1 species